UACGAAGGGGGCUAGCGUUGCUCGGAAUUACUGGGCGUAAAGCGCACGUAGGCGGCUUUCUAAGUCGGGGGUGAAAUCCUGGAGCUCAACUCCAGAACUGCCUUCGAUACUGGAGAGCUUGAGUCCGGGAGAGGUGAGUGGAACUGCGAGUGUAGAGGUGAAAUUCGUAGAUAUUCGCAAGAACACCAGUGGCAAAGGCGGCUCACUGGCCCGGUACUGACGCUGAGGUGCGAAAGCGUGGGGAGCAAACAGG
rnacentral:rRNA from 1 species